rnacentral:pre_miRNA from 1 species
AUAAUACUCCCUCCGUCCGGAAUUACUUGUCAUCAAAAUGGAUGUGUCUAGAACUAAAAUACAUCUAGAUACAUCCAUUUCCAUGACAAGUAUUUUCGGACGGAGGGAGUAGUAG